ACUAAAAGUUAUUUUCUAGAACUUCGGUAGAAUUCGCAGAUGAGGUUCCGGGGGUGUUUUCUAUGUUUCUUUCCUUUCUUGAACCAAAAUAAUAUUCGCUUUACAUAUUUAUGUAGUAUAUAUUUUUACAUAUUUUUACAUAUUUAAGUGUAAUAAUUGACCUCUCAAGAAAUUGAGAUGCGCAAAUGCAGUGUGCGCCUGCGCGGCUAGAACAAUUUUACUUGUGUGGACGUGUUUACCAGCCGCUCAGUGGCCUCUUGAAGAAGUGGGUUUGAGUCGAUUCCUCUCGUGUUUUAAAAGUGUGCUUGCGCUUUGUGUUCAUGUUUUGUGUUCUGCCAGUGCUGCUGAUUACAAAGAUGAGCUAUACUCAAGCGAAGAAGUGUGGCUUCGUAUCGUGGAGCACUCGCCAGCCUAUGCAUGCCCCUCAUACGAACUGAGUGUGAAAGAAUUCCGGACAAGCCUGUCAUCAGUGGUGGCUCGUGGAAAAGUUGGCUACUGAAUGUACAGCAGCUGUGUAUGACUUCUGUUUCCUAUGGAAAGAGAACUUCCCUGAGCCACCCGGUUGCUGUAUUCAAGUAGCUCGCAUGUUCAGCAUGUUCAAUAUUAGGCCUUUUGUUUUUCUAUAAAGAAGUCAGUGCUGUAAGUUGUGUGUGUAAAAGCCACCUUUGUAGAUAUGUAAGUGUUCAGAAGAACACAAUGUGCAACAAUAGUUAUCACUGUCAGCCCUGCCCUUGAAUAAGAUUCAAUAAUGAACUUAUUAGUGACUGCAGCAGGCAGCCAUGCACGUAUUAAAAAUUUGAGCCAGUCACAUUUCUACUUAAGUUCAAAAAAUUCUGGAAUGCCUGUGCUCAGAUAUCCCGCUGGAAAGUAUAGUUGUGGCUUGUAUCAUUAUGCAUGCAGGACAGUGAGCACUAGCACACAGCUACUCCUCCCCGAGGUGCCGCAUAUAAUCUGAUCAUGGAUCGAAGCCAUAGACAAGCAUUAUAAUGGUUAUCUUUUUACUACCGGCUGGAACAGCAAGCACUGACUGCUUAUCUCACUAGGGAGUAAUGUUUUGGUGAUCCUCGCUGCCUUGCAUGCGUAACCAUGAAAAACACAAUAAACUUCCGACAGGAAUAUCUCAGAGCAGAGACCUGCUCGAAGAAUUUUUCCAAGAGGGAGUGCGUAGAAACACGACUGCCACAAACUGUUCUAUGCAAAUAUACCCACUUAUUGUAGGCACCAAAGUUUCAGUAUUCUUAGUUGAUUAGGCAGCUUACAGCAUUAUUGUCUUACUUUGUGUUCCCCUGGGCACAUAACUUAUCUGCAAAGGCAGUUUUCUGUUCUUAUGGCUGAAUUUUAUGACAAGCACAAAGCACGUGUCUGAUUGUCUCAGUGCUGCUUUCUAAGGUUUUAUGUCAUGUUUAAUUUAUGUGUAAUCUGCAGUUAGUCACUUAAAAUUGAACUUUUUACAUUGCAUCAAGGCUGUAGCAGCUCAAUGGUUUUAUUUUCACUGUAAUAUUGACUGAAUAUUUUGUUUUAUUAUUGUUGUAACCUUAUUUCAUUGUCUUCUGAAAUUUAAUGACGUAAGUUCAAUCAAGUGAUUUUUUCUAUUGUCAUACUUUAUCAUACCUAACUUUGCCAAUACCUAACCAUUUGUGAUAUAUUAGUGAUACUUAACCAUGUUUAACAUUGUUAAUGAUGACUGACAGAAGGCAUUCUGGAAUACUGUAGCGUUUUUAACUUCACUGUGUCUUUUGUGCGAGUAUUUUGGGAUGGAAUUAGAAUUAGGGGUGUUGCUAAUAUCAUAAUUUGAUUAUUAAACACAGAUUUGUGGUGAAACCCAUUAAUUUCAACUACUCAUGGUUCUAACAUACCUAAAUUUAGAGGUGAGAAAAAAAAAUCAAUUGUUCGACUGCUGCUUUUAGGCUGUAACAAAUUUUUUACCUUUAUAUAUUUGCUGCUGGGCCAAUGUGUUUGCUAAGCUAGCCUUCUGAAUUUCGUUGCACUGACAGAAGUCUGCUCGAAGAGAACAGUUUGUGCCUUUUGUAUGUGUGCAGGUUCCUGGACCAAGCAUCUGGCCAGCCUCUCAAUCGCUUUGUACAAUUAUAGUUACUUUAAAGCAUGCAAGUUUUGGGACAAAGUGUGCAGUCAUUGUUAUGUUUAAUAAAGGUUACAAGUAUGCAUUAAGAUUGGUUGAAAUUUUGCAUUUACUUUCGAAUGUGCAGCAUAAUGCAUUCCAGGUAACAGCAGAAACAAUUAUAAAUUGACGUUUAAAAGCCCGUGUGGUCUCCAAGCAAAACAGAUUAUCGUAAUGAUAGAUGGCAGUCACUAAUUAAUUCUUUCAACAAUUAUGGCACCAAUUUUGCUGAUUAGAAUAGUGCCGGCAAUAAUUUGAUGCUAAAUUAUGUUGCUGUUCCUACUUGUCACUCUCGACAGUGAAAAGCUAAAUGCACUGAUUGUAAAACGCUGACAUGGUGCAGCAAAUUAACCAUGGGAAACGCUCAACAAGCUGGUUUGCAUGAAAAAUAAAUGCCUAAAAAAGGUGUUAAGAGAUCUAGCAAAAGUCUUUUUAGAAUCUUGGCAAGAAGUUUACUAAGCUUCUGAUAAUAUAAGUAUAGUAAACGCUUACAAAAGUUCUUUGAAAAAUCUAAAAAGACGUCUUUUAGACUUCUUGCUAGAAGUUUUCUAGCCGUAUAAUAACGUGGCGUUAGCACAGCUACAGGAGGUUUUUAAGCUGCUUAGGUUUAAGUAACUUCUCAACAAGACUUCUUAUAUACUUUUGAACUAUCCUUUUUGGACAUUUACUAGAAGUUGUUUAGCUUUUCUUGUGUUUGGUGGGUUCUUUUUUACCUUCAAACUGUCCGUGUUAAUGGUUAGACUUGUAAAGUACGCUGGCAGGCCUUUGCGAAUCCAAUAGAAAUUGCAUUAGGCCUGAGACAUGGCUUGUCUCUCGGAAUCGAUUGGAAGUCACGGUUUAUUGUGAAAUUGUCUGCAUAAAUAAUGUCUGAUAAAUCAAACAUCUACUGAAAAAUCGUGUCUAAUAAAUCAAACAUUGAAUAAA